CAAUCAAUAGGAAAUUAACCAAUCAUCAAAUAAUAAAUAAUAAUAAAUUACCCCUUCGUAUUAUUCAUGGAUCCCUACAACCCUAGAAAUAAGUCUACUCACUCAUAAAUAAAACUAAGCCAAACAUAAUAAUUAAACAAGACAUGAUUAAAUCAAAGCAAUCAAAUUACUGAAAGUAAAGAGGGAAGAAAUCGUUACCAAAAUUAAAGGAAAUAAUGAAUUGCAUAAAUUAAGGAGUGUAGAGAGAACAAUAGUAUCAAGAACAAGCUUAAAAACUAAAUCUAGAAUCAAGAAAAAGGAAUAAUGGAUCAUGAAAAGCGUAAAAACGCAAAAAUAAGCUCAAAACGUAUUUAUACUAAAAAACUAAAUCUAAAUAAAGAAAAAGACAAUAAAUUAAAAUAUCUUAAUAAAUCACGCGCCCGGUCGGGUGAGGCACCGCCUGGCCGGGCGCGCCUUUUUGAUCUUAAGUGCGUAGCUCGGGCCCGGUCGGGCGCGCAUCCGGGCGAACCUUUGCCCGGUCGGGCGGAUGCUUGGGCAGACCUUAUAUUCUUCUUUUCAAUUGGGCUUCACACUUCUUGGCCCAAAACUAAACUUCUUCAUAGGUCCAACUUGCCCGAGCUCCUAUUCACUUCAUCGAGCCCUUAAUCACCGGAUUGAUUCCUCAAAUACGGUCAUGGGCUUCGGAAUACGAUCAUAGAAAUGCGUCUUGUCUCCAAUGCUCGCGGUGGCUCCACUAAGUGCCGGAAAAUGUUCCAAAUCUGCAGUUUCCUGUAGAAUAAUUCCACAACUACGAAAACACUAGAAAACGCAUAUUAGUAAUAAAAUUGGCUCUAAAGAGUCAAAAAUACUCCUAACUAUGAUCACGGGACGGGGAUAAAAUACUAUAUAUAAUGAAUACAUCAGCCACAGGCCCAUCUUCUGCUACUGGCCCACCUCUUGUUGCUAGGCCAUCUUCUGCUUGUCCAGAACCACCUUUCACAAGCCCAAAUGAAGCAAGCCCAUCUAACCCAAACACAUCUAAACCAGUUUCUUCUAAAUUAGGCACCUUCAAUCCAGGCCCGCCCAAGAAUUUCAGACCAAAAUUAACCACUUGAAAAAAACACAAAACCUACAUAAGCUGAACACCCUUGUAGUGGACCAGGGACCUUGAAUAUAGUAGAACCUGUUAGGGGGAGCCCAAGUUUACUGAUUCCUUGUCACCCAAAAGUUUACCCCCUUAUUCAGUCAACCUAGGAGGUUACCUAGGAUGUUAGAAGAAAUAUCCCCUUAUUCUCCCCCACAUAUCACACUAUGUGAUGAUGAUUUCUUUCAUAGAAAUAACUCUGAAUCUCAAAUGCUUUCUCCUGCACACAGAAGAAGUCCAAGACUAUUGCAAGCUAACUCCAGCCCAAAUCUUAGGCAGGCACCAUUGAGACCACCACAAAAUAACCAAAAUGAACCCCCAUAUGAGCCUACUAGAAAAACUAGAACUUGCCAAAGGCGAGUACUUCUCUUUCCUCAUGGUAAGAAAUUGCCCAACAACAUUGCAAAGCUUAAGGGUUUGUUUGUUCCACAUAGUCAGUAAUUCCAAACUAUAUCAGAAGGUAGGAGUGGUAGGGGAGGAAAGCUGAACAUGACAGAUACACUGCUGAAUGUGCUGACAGCAGAUACAAGUGGAGGAUUUAUGCUACUAUACUCAUUGAUGGGUUUACUUGGGCCAUAAAGAGCAUAAAGCAUGGGCAUACAUGUGACCUGAACAUGGUCAAUAAUCCAAUGUGUAAUUGCAAGUGGGCAGCUCAGAAGUUGUUGGAAGAUAUUAGAGCCAGCCCGGAUAUCAAAGCGAAAGCACUUAAUCAAUUACUUUUGGAAAGAUUUGGUAUUACAAUGGCUUGCUCAUCCCUAUACAAAAUGAAGAGUAUUGCAAUGGACCUCAUUCAGGGAGGGCAUGAUGAGUCAUAUCACAAUCUCAAUGAGUUCUAUCAUUUGCUGAAGGAGAGAAACCCAGUCCAAUUCAAGUCUAUUUUCAUCAGCUUUACAGCACAGUUUGAAGGGUUAAUUCUGGGAUGCAGGGGCUUAGUUGGUGUUGAUGGUUGCCAUUUGAAAGGCAAUAAUAGAGGAAUUUUAUUAUCAGCUGUGUCUUUAGAUGGGAAUAAUGAAAUCUUCCCAGUUGUAGUAGCUGUAGUAGAUUCAGAGAACAAGACAAGCUGGUCUUGGUUCUUUCAUCACCUUAAGAACACUCUCACUGGCACAGGAAGGAUUGACUGGACUAUAAUGUCAGAUAGGCAGAAGGUUUUUAUUUCUCUAUGCAAAUUAAGACUAAGUUGUGUGUAUUUUAAUUAUCAUAGUUAGUUUAACUAAUGUGUCUUUAUCUGUGCUAGGGAAUUGACCUUGGUUUGGAUCAAGUGUGGCCAAAAUUUCCUAGAAGAUAUUGUGCAAGGAAAUUAUGCAAAAAUUUCAAAGAUGAUUACCCAGGUAUCCUGAUGCACAAACUGUUUUGGGGGGUGACUAAUGCCUACUCUGCCUUCAGUUUCAAAAAAGCUCUACAAAAAAUACAGUCUACUGCUGGACUUGGAGCCGUGAAGUGGUUUAAGGAGGUAAGGCCCCUUGAUACAUGGACAAAGAGGAAAUUUGACCCCUAACUGUCUUCUGAUGAGAAUACCAACAAUUUUGUUAAAAGUUUCAACAACACUAUUGGUGUAGAUAGGUGUUAUCCCAUCCUAACACUACUUGAAGGAAUUAGGAGGAUUGCUAUGGUUAGGCAUGCUACAAGGCAACAGCUGGCUGAGCAAUGGGUGGAGGAAGAAAUUUGUCCUAACAUUAGAGAGAGGGUUAGGGCUUUCACUAAAGAAUCUAGGUUAUUCCAUGCAUAUCCUUCUGGGAGGGGAGAGUAUGAAGUGUUUGAUUGAAGAAGUAUGCUCCCAAUGUCAUUGAACAACUGGUCCUAUGUUUGUGGUAAAUGGCAAGUAAGUGGCAUUCCAUGUAGGCAUGGAAUUAGGGCCAUACUUGAUGUUGGGAAAGAUCCAAAUGAUUUUGUGAAGGAAUGGUACUCUGUGGCUAGGUAUAAGUUGACAUACAGUGGGAAUAUAUUGCCCAUUCUAUCCCCUGAGCAAUAGCCUGACAUGGAUGUUCCCAAACUAGUCCCACCUCCAAUGAAAAGAAGUGUUGGCAGACCUUCCAGAAAUAGGAGAACAAAAGAAGGAGAGAAGAGAAAAGGGAAGAGGUCUGCUACUGUUCAGUGCAAGAAAUGCAAACAACAUGGGCAUAAUGCUGCUACUUGCAAGGGUGGUUUGACUAAAAAGGAGAUUCUGGAGCAGCAAGGUAAGGCACCCACUAGUGCAACAAAGGGCAAGAGAACAAGGCAGCAAACCAGCCAGAGUGAGAUGGAUUUCAACUUGAUUGAGUAGAUGAUUGUUACCAGCUCAACUCAGUCAAAUGCAGAGUGCUCAAGCCAACCUGUGCUACCAUCUACGAACAAAAACAGAGAGCCUCCUGCUACUAAAGGGCCUUUCUCUCAGCCUACCCCAACUACAGCUUCUAAAAGGCAAAAUAUAGUGAACAAACUUGCCAUGCUAUGAGCCCCUGUGUUCCUAUAGGUCAAGGAUGAUUUGAGCACGACAAUGGCUUUUUUUGGGACACAUUUAAACUACUGUUAAUAUUUUCAAGCUUCUUUUGGGAACAAACUUGGUUGAAUUUUGUAUUUAAAGCCUCAUAUAAGAUGUGAUUAUGUUUUGGGCUGUGAAACUUAUGGUAGGAAAUGUUGGAUGAUUUUUUGGGUGUUAAAAUCUGAUGUUAGAUGUUGGCUGUCAAACUUUUAACAUUAUGUAUAUAUUGGGCUGUUAGUAUUAUAUAUGUUGUCUAUUUAUGAUUGUUGUAUUGUGGAAUUCAUUAUAUUAUUACUAUAACAACUAAAACAAAUUGAAAUUUCAUUGAACUAAAAAAAAAAAGGUUUUUCCACCCAUUUCAUUAACACAUAAAAGUAACAACAAUCUUUCUAUUACAAUCACUUCACCCCACACUUUUUAACAGCACAAUUAUGAGUAACACAACAUACAUAAAAACACCAAUUUUAACUACUUCCCCUAAUGUAGCUAAUCAACUCUAUUAUUUUCUCCUUCAGAGAUGCAAUUUCGGUUUCAUCAGCCCUCAAUGCUUCAAGACCCUGCACAUCACCUUCAUCCAUCCACUUGAAAAAGCCGCAAUCGUUGCACUUAAAGAACGCUUUCCUAGGGUUGCGAGUUGUUGUUGAAAUCUUCACCUUCGCUAGUUUUGGAGGGUUGCAAAAAUAUUGUGGGCUCAAGAAUUGCAAGGAACAUGAUGAAUUGGAGGGGAACGAGCAGCGAGAACUGGACAUGGCUUCUUGUUUCAAUUGAAACUGUAAUUACCUACAAUGGAGCCCUAGAAAAAAAGGAAAAAAAAAUCAAGGGAUUUAUAAAAGGAGGAAGAAGAAGAAGAAAGGAGGGGGGGGGGGGAAGAGGUGGCUUUUUUGGAGGGAAAUAUUCCCCCCAAAACUAAUAACAGACUACCUGUACGCACUCCAAUUAAAGUUAACAGAAGCAACUAACGGCAGUUUAACGGCGAG